rnacentral:rRNA from 1 species
GAUGAACGCUAGCUGGAGGCUUAAUACAUGCAAGUCGAGCGGGAUUGGGUAGCAAUGCCCAUGAGAGCGGCGCACGGGUGAGUAACGCGUACACGACCUACCUCUAACAGGGGGAUAGCCCUGGGAAACUGGGAUUAAUACCGCAUAUUAUUCUGAAUAAUAAAGGUUUGGAAUGAAAGCUGAGGCGGUUAGAGAUGGGUGUGCGUCUGAUUAGCUAGUUGGUAGGGUAACGGCCUACCAAGGCGAUGAUCAGUAGGGGGCGUGAGAGCGUGGUCCCCCACACGAGUACUGGGACACGGACCCGAGUCCUACGGGAGGCAGCAGUAAGGAAUAUUGGUCAAUGGGCGAAAGCCUGAACCAGCCAUCCAGCGUGCAGGAAGAAGGCCCUAUGGGUUGUAAACUGCUUUUAUCAGGGAAGAAACCUCUGGAUUUACUCCGGAGCUGACGGUACCUGAAGAAUAAGCACCGGCUAACUCCGUGCCAGCCGCCGCGGUAA